rnacentral:rRNA from 1 species
AUGGGCGCAAGCCUGAUGCAGCGACGCCGCGUGAGGGAUGACGGCCUUCGGGUUGUAAACCUCUUUCAGUAGGGAAGAAGCCGUAAGGUGACGGUACCUGCAGAAGAAGCGCCGGCUAACUACGUGCCAGCAGCCGCGGUAAUACGUAGGGCGCAAGCGUUAUCCGGAAUUAUUGGGCGUAAAGAGCUCGUAGGCGGUUUGUCGCGUCUGCCGUGAAAGUCCGGGGCUCAACUCCGGAUCUGCGGUGGGUACGGGCAGACUAGAGUGAUGUAGGGGAGACUGGAAUUCCUGGUGUAGCGGUGAAAUGCGCAGAUAUCAGGAGGAACACCGAUGGCGAAGGCAGGUCUCUGGGCAUUAACUGACGCUGAGGAGCGAAAGCAUGGGGAGCGAACAGGAUUAGAUACCCUGGUAGUCCAUGCCGUAAACGUUGGGCACUAGGUGUGGGGGACAUUCCACGUUUUCCGCGCCGUAGCUAACGCAUUAAGUGCCCCGCCUGGGGAGUACGGCCGCAAGGCUAAAACUCAAAGGAAUUGACGGGGGCCCGCACAAGCGGCGGAGCAUGCGGAUUAAUUCGAUGCAACGCGAAGAACCUUACCAAGGCUUGACAUGAACCGGAAAGAUCUGGAAACAGGUCCCCCACUUGUGGUCGGUUUACAGGUGGUGCAUGGUUGUCGUCAGCUCGUGUCGUGAGAUGUUGGGUUAAGUCCCGCAACGAGCGCAACCCUCGUUCUAUGUUGCCAGCACGUGAUGGUGGGGACUCAUAGGAGACUGCCGGGGUCAACUCGGAGGAAGGUGGGGACGACGUCAAAUCAUCAUGCCCCUUAUGUCUUGGGCUUCACGCAUGCUACAAUGGCCGGUACAAAGGGUUGCGAUACUGUGAGGUGGAGCUAAUCCCAAAAAGCCGGUCUCAGUUCGGAUUGGGGUCUGCAACUCGACCCCAUGAAGUCGGAGUCGCUAGUAAUCGCAGAUCAGCAACGCUGCGGUGAAUACGUUCCCGGGCCUUGUACACACCGCCCGUCAAGUCACGAAAGUUGGUAACACCCGAA